rnacentral:misc_RNA from 1 species
AAAAGAGACUAAAAUAAAUUAUAUUUUAAUAAAAGAACUUAAGUCAAUGACCAUUUAAUUUAUUUAAAAAAUAUAAACAAGACUUUUUGCAAUUCUCUCUAAGAACAAUAUCCACAGAAGUGGCUGCCUACCAUCUUGGGACAUAUCCCUCAAGAAAAGGGAUGGUAGGGUUGUCAUCCUAAAUCAAGCUAGGGGUUCAACAAGUCAAGUGAGGUUUAUGACUACCCAGCUUCCAUAGCCAAUGACCAAAAAGCUGAAUUAUAUAAUUCAAAGAAUUGAUUCUACAUAACUCCAAUAAAGAAAUAAAUCAGAAUCAAAUAUGCCAUCAACAUUUCAGUGUUCCAUCUUCACUUUCCAGUAAGCUUAGGACUAUCAUCCAAUUUGGAUGGAUCCAUAUAUCUCCAAAUGAAUCCCAAACUGCUACCCAUGAUAUUCAUGAUUACAGCAGACAUGGCUGGGGGUAAUGCAACCAUUGGAGAAGUGAAAUGGGAUGUUGCUAAAACCACACCUAAGGACGAAUUUUGCAUACCAACCUCAAUUGAUAUAGCUCGCCGUUCUCGUUCUGUAAAUCCACAAAUAGCUGCUGAUAGAUAACCCACAAAGAAACCAGCAAAAUGUAGCAACAAAACAGAAAGUACUAUAAUUCCCAGAUCUCCAGACACUAUUGAUUGAAUGAAAAGAACUGGAGAGGAACCAGGAGGCAAUGAAGCACCAACCAUUGAGGAUUUAAGACGAACAACAUUUUCUGAGAAGACGCUGCAUGCAAGCAGUGAUGAAGCCAAGACCGCAAAUAGUGGUGCAAAAGGUAUCACAGCUUUCACUGCUGCAGGAAAUUUGCUCUGCAAAUAGGAACCCAACAGAAUUGGAGCUACAACCACCUGAAGGGUGCUGAUGGAAAGUUUAAGAGCAUCCACAGGAACAUAAGUCCCUGCUAGAAUCUUUGUCAACAUAGGAGUGAGAAGGACUGCACCAAGAGUAGUGCACACCGUCAUUGUAAUAGAUAGUGGAACAUCCCCUUGAGCAAUUAAGGUCACCUGUAAUACUACUUCAGCAGAAUAGAAAUGAACCAAUUUCUCAUCCAUGUAUACAUGCUAAUAUAUCAACCUUCUGGAAUAUCUAUAUCAAAAGAAGAACAGCCUCAGUUACCCCUUGAGGCCAAAAUUCCCAGUUUUUAUGGAGUUUCUAUUAGCCCAGUUUUGGGGAACAUAUCUAAUACUUUGUCCAGCUUAUGAAAACAACCAGUUUUCUUAAGAUCGACUUUGUUUUGAAUAAUUAAAAUAAGUAAAGGACACUUAUUAAUGGACACAAACAUGACUGUAAUAUCUAGAUGUCAAACAGAUUAUCAGAACGACAAGUACAAAAUUUGGUUAAGGGAAGAAAAAAAUUUAUGCUGCUGUCAUUAAUUAAUAACAUUAACCUUACACAUUUAACCAUUUAGAAUUCCAAAAGAAUGACAAUCAGAGAUGCAUGAAUUUCUUGACAACAAAAUAUAGUGCACCCAUAAGUUUAUAAACAUUUCAGGAAGGUGAAUUCAUGAAUGUUGAAAACAUCUAGAGAUAAGAUUCACACUCUCAAGUGUCAAACAAUUUUUCACUAGAUGGAUUCUUGAACAGAUAAAUACUAGGGGUGGCAAUAUGGGUUCAUGGGUCGUGUUCGUGUCGUGUCAACACGCGAUACGAAUACAAUUAAAGUCGACACGAACACGACACGAUUAAAUCGUGUCAAAAAUUUAAACAUGAACACGACCCUUUUAUUAUACGGGUUACACGACACGACACGACACGGUUAAUAUUAAAUUGUAUUGGGUGUAUUCAACACGAUACGACUCAUCUAACACGAAAUAACCCAUUUAACACGGUUUGACACGACUUAACUAUUUAACACGCUACAUAGGUGGGUUCAUGGGUCAUAGCGGGUCAAAUGGGUUAGUGGGUCACGGGUCAACACGUGACACGAAUAUUAAAUCGUUUCAUAAACGUGUCAAGUCGGAUUAGCGAGUUAACCCGUGACAUACGAUUAUAACCGUAUCAUAAAUGGUUCGACACGAAUUCGACACAAAUACGAAUAAGCCUAACCCAAACCCU